GAUGAACGCUGGCGGCGUGCCUAAUACAUGCAAGUCGAGCGAACAGGUGAGGAGCUUGCUCCUCUGACGUUAGCGGCGGACGGGUGAGUAACACGUGGAUAACCUACCUAUAAGACUGGGAUAACUUCGGGAAACCGGAGCUAAUACCGGAUAAUAUAUUGAACCACAUGGUUCAAUAGUGAAAGACGGUUUUGCUGUCACUUAUAGAUGGAUCCGCGCCGCAUUAGCUAGUUGGUAAGGUAACGGCUUACCAAGGCAACGAUGCGUAGCCGACCUGAGAGGGUGAUCGGCCACACUGGAACUGAGACACGGUCCAGACUCCUACGGGAGGCAGCAGUAGGGAAUCUUCCGCAAUGGGCGAAAGCCUGACGGAGCAACGCCGCGUGAGUGAUGAAGGUCUUCGGAUCGUAAAACUCUGUUAUUAGGGAAGAACAAAUGUGUAAGUAACUAUGCACGUCUUGACGGUACCUAAUCAGAAAGCCACGGCUAACUACGUG
rnacentral:rRNA from 1 species